CUAAAUACUACCCAGUGACCGAUAGCGUAUAGUACUGUGAAGGAAAGGUGAAAAGGACCCCGGGAGGGGAGUGAAAUAGAACCUGAAACCUUGUGCCUACAAGCACAUAGAGCACAUCAACGUGUGAUAUGGUACUUUUUGUAGAACGGUCCGGCGAGCGAUUGUAUGUUGCGAGCUUAAGGUCUUAAGGACUGGAGGCGUAGCGAGAGCGAGUCUGAAGAGGGCGUUCAGUAACAUGCAAUGGGCCCGAAACCGGGUGACCUACCCAUGAUCAGGCUGAAGUGAAAGUAAAAUUUCAUGGAGGGCCGAACCGACCUCCGUUGAAAAGGCGGCGGAUGAAUUGUGGGUAGCGGAGAAAUUCCAAUCGAACUCGGAGAUAGCUGGUUCUCCCCGAAAUAGCUUUAGGGCUAGCCUCAUAUUAGAUACCCGGAGGUAAAGCACUGAAUGGCCUAGCGCCCGAGAGGGUAGCGAAGCCUAUCAAACUAAGAAUGCCGGAGUAUUGAUGUAUGGGAGUCAGACAGUGUGAGAUAAAUCUCAUUGUCAAAAGGGAAACAGCCCAGAUCUACAGCUAAGGUCCCAAAUUGUAUCUAAGUGGAAAACGAUGUGGAAAUACGCAGACAACCAGGAUGUUGGCUCAGAAGCAGCCACUCAUUUAAAGAGUGCGUAAUAGCUCACUGGUCGAGCGUCUCUGCGCGGAAAAUUUAACGGGGCUAAGAUACAAACCGAAGCUUAGGCUGCACGUAAGUGCGGGGUAGGGGAGCGUUGUGUAAGCGGAGAAACAGUAGCGUAAGCGGCUGUGGAGUUUACAGAAGUGAGAAUGCCGGAAUGAGUAGCGCGAAUGUGGUGAGAAUCCACAUGGCCGGAAACCUCAGGUUUUUGGAGGAAGGUUCGUCCGCUCCAAGUUAGGCGGGAGCUAAGGUCAGGCCGAAAGGCGUAGCCGAUGCACAGACGGUAGAGAUUCCGUCCCCACCGAAAGAUUUAAGCACAGGGACACUUUUUGAAGGUCGGAGCCAGGUGUUGGUUCUGGUAGUGAUCGAGGGAAAUAUAGUACCGAAGUCCGGCUGGAAGAGAGGCGAGAAAAGCUGUGUGUAUAUCUAAGGUGCCCGUACCGCAAACCGACACAGGUAGGUAGGAAGAAGAUUCUAAGGCCAACGGGAGAAGGGUUGUUAAGGAACUCGGCAAGUUGACCCCGUAACUUCGGAAUAAGGGGUGCUCACGAGAGUGAGCCGCAGAGAAUAGGCCCAGGCAACUGUUUACCAAAAACACAGGUUUGUGCUAAAUCGAAAGAUGACGUAUACGAGCUGACGCCUGCCCGGUGCUGGAAGGUUAAAAGGAGAUGUGCAAGCAUUGAAUUGAAGCCCCAGUGAACGGCGGCCGUAACUAUAACGGUCCUAAGGUAGCGAAAUUCCUUGUCAGGUAAGUUCUGACCCGCAUGAAAGGCGUAAUGAUCUGGGCACUGUCUCAACAGCCCGCCCGGCGAAAUUGUAGUACCGGUGAAGAUGCCGGUUACCCGCGACAAGACGGAAAGACCCCAUGGAGCUUUACUGUAGCCUGAUAUUGGGUUUCGGUGUUGCAUGCACAGGAUAGAUGGGACGCUGGGAAAGAAGCGCUUUGGCGUUUCUGGAGCGGACGUUGGGAUACCAUCCUUGCGACAUUGGAAUUCUAACCUGCGCCUCUGAAUCGAGGCGGGGGACAUUGUCAGGUGGGCAGUUUGACUGGGGCGGUCGCCUCCUAAAAAGUAGCGGAGGCGUUCAAAGGUUCGUUCGAUCUGGACGGAAACCAGAUGAUUGAGUGCAAACGCAUAAACGAGCCUGACUGCGAGACUGACGGGUCGAGCAGAGACGAAAGUCGGAGUUAGUGAUCCGGUGGUAUGUGAGUGGAAAUGCCAUCGCUCAACGGAUAAAA
rnacentral:rRNA from 1 species